UACGUAGGUGGCAAGCGUUGUCCGGAUUCACUGGGUGUAAAGGGCGUGUAGGCGGGUUGUCAAGUCAGAUGUGAAAUUCCAGGGCUUAACCCUGGAGCUGCAUCUGAAACUGAUGAUCUUGAGUACUGGAGAGGGAAGCGGAAUUCCUAGUGUAGCGGUGAAAUGCGUAGAUAUUAGGAGGAACACCAGUGGCGAAGGCGGCUUUCUGGACAGUAACUGACGCUGAGGCGCGAAAGCGUGGGGAGCAAACAGG
rnacentral:rRNA from 1 species